rnacentral:lncRNA from 1 species
AAUAGGAAUGCUUUUUUUAGCAAGUAACAGGAACCUGCAUUUAAAGAGGUGGUUUCUUCUUCUUUUUUUUUUCCUUUUGCAUAAUCUAAUUAGGAAUGUUCCUGCCAGCUACCUCCUCAAACAGCAGGUUUAAAACAAGGAAAUCUCCACCAACUAGCUCCUCCCAGGGGAUUUUGUGGCCACGUUGGAUGGGAAGACAGGGCGGUGCUGCGGUGUCACAAAACAUCAACUCAGGGAGCAAACACAGACGUUCACAUAUACACUCCGAUCUGUGAGUUUCAAGAGGGUCUCAUUGUAAUGCCAGUUAUUUUUCAUGAGUAAAUGGUACUACAGAUAAAAUCCCUACGACCUAGAAUGCUGUGUAUUUUGAUGACAGGUCAGCCCGUGAGGCCAUAUCAUCUAAGUUCAUGUUUUAGAGCUGCUGUGGAAAGUAAAUGAGUCAACCCAGGUAAAACGCUGGACACAGGGUGAGGCAUUCCAAGAAGUCACUUUCGUCCCGAUCCGGCCCAUGACUUCUGGCUGACUGCUAAGUGAUGAGCUAAGCAGUUAGCUCCAGAUCUUGGUUGUUGCCCUAUUUUUUCCCCCCUUCCAGACCAUAUGGGUUCACUUUUCUCCGAAAACUUUGCCAAAAAAACAAGGAACAAUCCAUCUGCCACUUAAACAAGAACAGAUUUAUUGCUUUUAACUUAAAAAAAAAAAAGAUGUCAAGUGCAAAAAAAAG